rnacentral:rRNA from 1 species
UAAUACGGGGGGGGCAAGCGUUGUUCGGAAUUACUGGGCGUAAAGGGCUCGUAGGCGGCAACUCAAGUCGGACGUGAAAUCCCUCGGCUUAACCGGGGAACUGCGUCCGAUACUGGGUAGCUUGAAGCCGGGAGAGGGAUGCGGAAUUCCAGGUGUAGCGGUGAAAUGCGUAGAUAUCUGGAGGAACACCGGUGGCGAAGGCGGCAUCCUGGACCGGUCUUGACGCUGAGGAGCGAAAGCUAGGGGAGCAAACGGGAUUAGAUACCCCGGUAGUCCUAGCCCUAAACGAUGAAUGCUUGGUGUGGCGGGUAUCGAUCCCUGCCGUGCCGGAGCUAACGCGUUAAGCAUUCCGCCUGGGGAGUACGGUCGCAAGGCUG